ensembl:ncRNA lncRNA:CR46041 long non-coding RNA:CR46041
AGUCGGAGGAUGCAACGGUACAGCUAGUUCUGGCAGCCAAUCAAUAGGCUUCAUUAGCCGGAUCGGAUCGGAUCGGAUCGUAGAAGGCCGCCAUGGGAGGCGGCCCGCAUGGACGCCCAGCGGUGUAGCUGUUAAAAUUUGACAGUUAGCCGACAGCCGCGAUCGUUAGGCAUCAUUAAACGCGCCCGCCAACAAGAGCAGCGCCUAACUAACUAACUAACUAACUAACUAACUGUCAGUCAACCCGGUCAGUCAUUCGUACAGUUGAUCAUUUGGACGACCUGGGAGCGGAGUGUUUAGCGAUCCACGUCACUGAUAAAAUCACAAACGCGGAUCGAGGAUCGCGGAUAUGAGCGGGAUUCAAUCGGGCGGAACAGGCAUAGGUACUAGUACCUAAAUGCAUACACUGAGACAAAUAAUAACGCUGUUAAAUAUAUAUAAAAGUACAUAUUAAAAUUGAUUGAAAUGCAGCGCUUACAGAAUAAGCUAUAAAUAAUUAU